rnacentral:rRNA from 1 species
UGGGGAAUAUUGCACAAUGGGCGGAAGCCUGAUGCAGCAACGCCGCGUGCGGGAUGAAGGCCUUCGGGUUGUAAACCGCUUUCAGUCGGGACGAAGUUGACGGUACCGACAGAAGAAGCACCGGCUAACUACGUGCCAGCAGCCGCGGUGAUACGUAGGGUGCGAGCGUUGUCCGGAUUUAUUGGGCGUAAAGAGCUCGUAGGUGGUUUGUUGCGUCGGAAGUGAAAACUUGGGGCUUAACCCUAAGCUUGCUUUCGAUACGGGCGGACUUGAGGGAGGUAGGGGAGAACGGAAUUCCUGGUGGAGCGGUGGAAUGCGCAGAUAUCAGGAGGAACACCGGUGGCGAAGGCGGUUCUCUGGACCUUUCCUGACGCUGAGGAGCGAAAGCGUGGGGAGCAAACAGG